UGAGUAACGCGUAAAGAACUUGCCUCACAGCUAGGGACAACAUUUGGAAACGAAUGCUAAUACCUGAUAUUAUGAUUUUAGGGCAUCCUAGAAUUAUGAAAGCUACAUGCACUGUGAGAGAGCUUUGCGUCCCAUUAGCUAGUUGGAGAGGUAACGGCUCACCAAGGCGAUGAUGGGUAGCCGGCCUGAGAGGGUGAUCGGCCACAAGGGGACUGAGACACGGCCCUUACUCCUACGGGAGGCAGCAGUGGGGAAUAUUGGACAAUGGACCAAGAGUCUGAUCCAGCAAUUCUGUGUGCACGAUGAAGUUUUUCGGAAUGUAAAGUGCUUUCAGUUGGGAAGAAAAAAAUGACGGUACCAACAGAAGAAGUGACGGCUAAAUACGUGCCAGCAGCCGCGGUAAUACGUAUGUCACAAGCGUUAUCCGGAUUUAUUGGGCGUAAAGCGCGUCUAGGUGGUUAUAUAAGUCUGAUGUGAAAAUGCAGGGCUCAACUCUGUAUUGCGUUGGAAACUGUGUAACUAGAGUACUGGAGAGGUAAGCGGAACUACAAGUGUAGAGGUGAAAUUCGUAGAUAUUUGUAGGAAUGCCGAUGGGGAAGCCAGCUUACUGGACAGAUACUGACGCUGAAGCGCGAAAGCGUGGGUAGCAAACAGGAUUAGAUACCCUGGUAGUCCACGCCGUAAACGAUGAUUACUAGGUGUUGGGGGUCGAACCUCAGCGCCCAAGCAAAUGCGAUAAGUAAUCCGCCUGG
rnacentral:rRNA from 1 species